AAGGGAGGCAACUGCGUACGGCUCAUUUAUUACUGAAAAAUUCCUGCGCGAAAUCUCGUUCAUAAAAAUAGUGCUGAUAGGGGGUCGGAAUUACGUCGUUUUUAAGGUGGUUUUCGAUUGGAUAUGGUUAAAAUAACCACUAAUCAUAUAAGUUAAUACAUUUAUGUUCGCAGGCAAAGCACUUUCGUUUCCACACAGUUGCGUUGAAGAUUAAAAGAAAGCCUCAGAAAAUUUCCAAGAUCGAGAUAAAUAGGUAAGAUACAUUGCCCAGUAGAAAAAUUGCUUUUAUUUUGUAGGUUAAUCAUUCUCCUUUCCAUUCAUGCCACUAAUUGCUUUGCAAAAUGCCGUGAUUCUGCUGGUUGUUGCUAAUGUAUGGACCCACUAUUGACCCGUUUCAUGAAUGGCAAGAUGGCCGCCGUUGUUGAAAAUUCAUACGACACAUAUGUCUGAUACUAAUAAGUCAGAGUCUCAGGAUUGGGAAGAGUUUGACUCGGAGUCUGACAGUGAGCGUUCGGAGUCUGACAGUAAGCGUGUAUCACCGCAGCCAGGUCAAUUUACACAGGGCCGGGCUGCAGUCGCUGAAAAGUUGAAGCUUCCGCAUCAGAGUACCGCAAGAAGCUGCCGUUUGUGAAUGCGCCCCGAUAGAGGAGAUUGAGGCAAAGAAGCUGAAGGCAGCGGGGGGAAAAGAGAAGAAAUCAGGAAGAAAUCGCCAUAGGCGAUAACUGAAUAUAAGAUUUUUUAAACCAUUGGAUAGGUUUGUUCGUCACCUAUCUUAGGAAAAAUACUUACAGAUACAUUGAAGUUCAAAUAACUUGUGUUAGGUCUUAUUUAAAUAAGAAGAAUUUUGGUUUUUGAACCUAUUUAAUGAAGCAAAUGAUUUUACUUUUGUUAAACAUGUUUGACAGUGAACUAUUGUCUUCAUGUUAACCUUAUUUAAGUUUUGGCUGUUGUUCUUGUGGUGUAUUUAUAAUUUGAGGACUUAUUUUAACUAAUGGACAAUUUAUUUUAAUUGAGUGAACAACGUAUAAAACUUGUCAAAACUAUUGAAAGCCCCCAUAAGAAUUUCACCGUUUUGUAGUGACCACUAUGUCUGCUCAUGACACUGUCGGUCUGACAUGUGAGAGUGCAGUUGAAGUAAAUUGCC